GACGAACGCUGGCGGCGUGCCUAAUACAUGCAAGUCGAGCGGACGAAUCGAAAGCUUGCUUUUGGUUCGUUAGCGGCGGACGGGUGAGUAACACGUGUGCAACCUGCCCUGUAGACGGGGAUAACACCGAGAAAUCGGUGCUAAUACCGGAUAACACGAAAUGUCGCAUGACGUUUCGUUGAAAGACGGCGCAAGCUGUCGCUACAGGAUGGGCCCGCGGGGCAUUAGCUAGAUGGUGAGGUAACGGCUCACCAAGGCGACGAUGCGUAGCCGACCUGCGGGGGUGAUCGGCCACACUGGGACUGAGACACGGCCCAGACUCCUACGGGAGGCAGCAGUAAGGAAUCUUCCGCAAUGGACGAAAGUCUGACGGAGCAACGCCGCGUGAGAGAAGAAGGCCUUCGGGUCGUAAAGCUCUGUUGUUAGGGAAGAACAAGUAACGCAGUAACUGGCGUUACCGUGACGGUACCUAACGAGAAAGCCACGGCUAACUACGUG
rnacentral:rRNA from 1 species